CAUCGUCUCAUCUCUUUGGCUCAGUGCCAUGGAGACCACCAGUGCCAGUUCCUGGGAAUGCCUACCACUAUCCUUCAUAUCCUGCGACCAUGCCCUUGGCUGGAGGAAUGCCAGGUGGAGUGCACAAUCAGUUCAUACCUCUGCAGGUUACAAAAAAAAGAGUUGCAAACAAAAAGAAUUUUGAGAAUAAGGAGGCCCAGAGUUCUCAAGCCACACCACUUCAGACUAACAAGCCAGGGUCUUCUGAAGCCACCAGAAUGACUCCACAAGAAGGUUCACCAGCGUCUUCAGCGUCCUCUCAGGCUACCCAGCCUGUGUCUUCUCACGUUGAAACUGCAUCCCAAGGCCAUGUUGUGUCCCACCAGAGGUCAGCUCCAAGCUCCUCAAGAAGGAAAUCAAGAAAAUUGGCUGUCAACUUUAGUGUUUCUAAACCUUCUGAAUAAAUUUGGUACCUGGGAAUUUAUUUCUUUUAUCUCCAUCUACCUUUUGAUAAAUUGAUAUCUAUGUAUCAAAAAUGUACUAUUUUAGGAUGUUAGAUUUGAUAUUUUUUAUUUUUAAGUUAUUAGGCACUUUUCAUGCUAUUUAAGACUAUAUAUCAAAUUGUGCACUUUAAAUAUGUGCAAUUUGUUGUACAUCAGUGAUACCUCAAUAAAGCUGUAAAAAAGAGAAAAUUAAA
rnacentral:lncRNA from 1 species